ACUCCUACUGGAGGCAUCAGUGGGGAAUAUUGGGCAAUGGACGCAAGUCUGACCCAGCCAUGCCGCGUGCAGGAUGAAGGCCUUUUGGUUGUAAACUGCUUUUCUGAGGGAAGAAAAGUAUCUAUUUAUGGGUAUCUGACGGUACCUCAGGAAUAAGCACCGGCUAACUCCGUGCCAGCAGCCGCGGUAAUAC
rnacentral:rRNA from 1 species